rnacentral:ncRNA from 2 species
CGCCAACCGUUGGGGUGCCCGGUUUCGCGGGCUGAGAGGCGCAGCAGCGUCAACCCAUCGAACCUGAUCCGGGCAAUACCGGCGGAGGGAACGGUCUUACAUCGCUC